rnacentral:tRNA from 1 species
GGGGUUGUGGCUCAGUGGUAGAGCACUUGCCUGGCAUGUGUGAGGCCCCGGGUUCAAAUCUCAGCACCG